rnacentral:rRNA from 1 species
CUACGGGAGGCAGCAGUGGGGAAUAUUGGACAAUGGGGGAAACCCUGAUCCAGCAAUGCCGCGUGUGUGAAGAAGGCCUGCGGGUUGUAAGGCACUUUCGGUUGGGAGGACUGCUUCUAGCACUAAUAUUGUUGGAAGUUGACGUUACCUUCAGAAGAAGCACCGGCUAACUCCGUGCCAGCAGCCGCGGUAAUACGGAGGGGUGCAAGCGUUAAUCGGAAUUACUGGGCGUAAAGCGCGCGUAGGCGGCUAGAUCAGUCGGGUGUGAAAGCCCCGGGCUUAACCUGGGAACUGCAUCCGAUACUGUCUAGCUUGAGUACAGGAGAGGAGAGUGGAAUUCCACAUGUAGCGGUGAAAUGCGUAGAUAUGUGGAGGAACACCAAUGGCGAAGGCAGCUCUCUGGCCUGAUACUGACGCUGAGGUGCGAAAGCGUGGGGAGCAAACAGGAUUAGAUACCCGGGUAGUC